UACGAAGGGGGCUAGCGUUGCUCGGAAUCACUGGGCGUAAAGCGCACGUAGGCGGAUUGUUAAGUCAGGGGUGAAAUCCUGGGAGCUCAACUCCAGAACUGCCUUUGAUACUGGCGAUCUCGAGUCCGGGAGAGGUGAGUGGAACUGCGAGUGUAGAGGUGAAAUUCGUAGAUAUCGCAAGAACACCAGUGGCGAAGGCGGCUCACUGGCCCGGUACUGACGCUGAGACGCGAAAGCGUGGGGAGCGAACAGG
rnacentral:rRNA from 1 species